AGCAGUCGCCGCGGUAAUACAGAGGGUGCGAGCGUUAAUCGGAUUUACUGGGCGUAAAGCGUGCGUAGGCGGCUAAUUGAGUCGGAUGUGAAAUCCCCGAGCUUAACUUGGGAAUUGCAUUCGAUACUGGUUAGCUAGAGUGUGGGAGAGGAUGGUAGAAUUCCAGGUGUAGCGGUGAAAUGCGUAGAGAUCUGGAGGAAUACCGAUGGCGAAGGCAGCCAUCUGGCCUAACACUGACGCUGAGGUACGAAAGCAUGGGGAGCAAACAGGAUUAGAUACCCCAGUAGUCCCUGUCUCUUAUAA
rnacentral:rRNA from 1 species